GGCUACAUGAUCGCACCCAUGAUCGUACCGGUCCAGGAUGGCUGUAUUGCACUCACUAUUCUGCCAGUGAUGUAUUCAGGGAGUCUGGGAGAGCAGAAAUACACCUGAAAACAAAAUAAUUGACUUGCUCUGAAUUGAAGAAUAUACACAUAUGCGGUUCAGAGGCGGUUACGAGGUUGGACCCAACUAUCACACACUAUCAUCUGGACGUUGCCGUAGGCGAAAAAGGAUGUCUUUAGAGACGCAAUCACUAACCUGAAGCAAACAUUUUUUUGUCUGGUAGGCCUACUGCAAAUCAGGUGAAGAGUGUAGUAAAAUAGGCUAAAAGAAAAAGAAAAGAAGAAGGCUAUGUUCUGUUGAAUAAAUGGGGUUCUUUAUUCAGACACAAAAACCUCAAAUAAAACAUUGAAACUUUGACAUUU